AUUAGAAAAAAAUUACAAUGCAGUGGGCACGAUAGUUUAAUAAUCAAUUUGUGCCAGUUUAUGAUAUUCUAAUGUACUACAGCUAAUUCAAGAUUGCAUUUUACCUUAUCAUCCUCGAAGACUACGUCAAAGAUCAUUGCUUUAUGAGUAUUCAAUGUAAAUAUGUUUUUUAAUAGAAUAAAAAAUUACAAUGCAUUUUUAACAUUCCUUCAAAUUGUGCAGGAAUGGGUAGAAUUAAAUAUAAUCCAGUUCAAGACGUAUACAUUUGUUUUGCCAUGAUAUACCCAGAAAUUUGGUUUUACAUUAUUUCACCUUAUUUUUUGUAACUAUUUAAAUUUUCAGCACAAAGAUGAUCAUUGAAAGGGGAAAGAAUAUUUUUCAGUUUUUAUUUAAAUUGUCAUCACAAAGAUGAUCAAUGAAAGAGGAAGAAUAUUUUUCAGAUUUUAUUUAAAUUUAAUCACAAAGAUGAUCAUUAAAAAAGGAAAUAAUAUUUUUCAGUAUUCUGCUAAAUGCAGAUUCAUUUAUACAAAAAUCCAAUGAUGUGUGUGAGAUUAGGGUAAAGAUCAUUUUCUUACUUUUCAAUGUGUGGGAGAAUCCAAUACAAUCCACUUCGUGAAGGAUACAUUCCCUAUUAUCAAGCUACACGGUUUUUUUCAUUUUGCCUAACUCUAUUUAUACAAAAAUAAAAUGAUGUGUGUUAAUGUUUUUUUAACAUUCUCAAAAUUUUUGUAGGUAUAGGAAAUUCGACGGUAUACUGUCUAAUUCCAGAUUGGGUUAAUUUUCAUCAUACUUGCUGGGUAGCUUGAAAGUCUUCAGUUUGUAUUGCAAAUUUGAAUAUGUUUUUGACAUUCGUGAAGGAUACAUUCCCUAUUAUCAAGGUACACGGUUUCCUCUCAAAUGUGGUUUCAUUUUAUUUAUUUAUUUAUUUAUUUUGAGUUAUUUAUAUUUUCCACACAAACAUGAUCAUUGGAAAAGGUAUAGGAAAUUCGACGCUAUACCGUCUAAUUCCAGAUUGGGUUAAUUUUCAUCAUACUUGCUGGGUAGCUUGAAAGUCUUCAGUUUGCAUUGAAAAUUUGAAUAGGUUUUUGACAUUCUACUGUACUACAGCUAAUUCGAGCUUUUUUCUCAUCAUCUUCAUUUACAGUUAUAUAGAAAAUUUGUUCUUAGUGUUUUAUGUUUUCUACAUUCUACAGUAAUCCAGCUAAUUCAAGAAUGAGUUUUACUUUAUUAUCUUUGGAGAUUAUGUUAAAGAUCAUUUUCUUACUUUUCAAUGUGUGGGAGAAUCCAAUACAAUCCAGAUCGCGAAGGGUACAUUCCCUAUUAUCAAGCUACACGGUUUCCACUCAAAUCUGGUUUGAUUUUAUUUAUUUUUAUUUUUUUUAAUUAUUUAUUUUUUCCACACAAAGAUGAUCAUUGGAAAAGGUAACAGAAUUUUUUUUAAUUUUGCCUAUUAUUUAUACAAAAAUCCAAUGUGUGUUAAUUUUUUUUAACAUUCUCAGAAUUUUCGUAUGUAUAGGAUAUUCGAGGGUAUACCGGCUAAUUCCAGAUUGUAUUCAUUUUCAUCAUAUUGCUGAGUAGCUUGAACGUCUUCAGUUUCCUUUGCUAAUGUGAAUAGGUAUUUCAUUUAAAAAUAAAUGUAAGCCAGUGUGUUCAAUUUUGUUUUCCUUAGUUUAUGCAGGUUUUUGAAAUUCUAGUGUACUACAGCUAAUUUAGCUUUUUCUCUUAUUCUUCGUUUACUAUCAUAAAGAAAGUUGUUUGUAAUGGUGAAUGUAAAUAUAUAUUGUUUUAUUUUAAAAAUACAUUACCAUGUGAUCAAUUUUGUUUUAUAUUCCCUUUAUUUAUGCAGGUUUUUGAUAUUCUAGUGUACUCCAGCUAAUUCAAAAUUGACUUUUAUCUUAUCCUUCUCAAACUAUCAUAAAAAUCAUUGGUUUGUAAUCUUGCAAUGCAAAUUACUAUUAUUAUAUUUUUUUAAUUUGAAUGAUCGAGCAAGUACGGAUUUUCUUUAAUUCUCUUAAUUUGUGAAGGUUUUUUACAUUCAAGGUACUCCAACAAAUUCGAGUUUUUUUCUUAUACUCUUUGCCCUGUGAAAAUUGCCCUGCAGUGUUACAUGUAAAUUUGUAUUUUGAUUGACAAAAUAAAUUCAGUGUAAUGUGUUGUAUUUUGUUUUUAAUUCCGUUAAUUUCUGUAGGUUUUAUUUAUUUUAAUGUACUCCACCUAAAUCAUGAUUUUUACCUUAUCAUCUUCACAGACUGUGCUAAAGAUCAUUUAUUUGUACUGUUGGUUAUAAAUAAGUUUUUUUUACUUAAAUUUAAAAAAAAUGUAAUUUCUUAACAUGUUCACUAUGGUACAGAAAAUUGGUUCAAAGUGUAGAAUGUAAAUAAAAUUUUUAAUUGAAAAAAAAAAAGUUAAAAAAUUGGUUAGAAGUUUAUUUUUUUAUUAUAAGUAUUCAGUGUAUGAACGAUUGGAGAUAGAGAUAAUGGGAGUUUUUCAAUUUUUUUUGUUCUUUUGCAGGUUUAAUUCUAUAAAAUUAGAUUCGUUUGUGUAUAACUGUUUGACAUACUUAUAAAUGUUUUAUGUUUGGCACAUUCAUGUGUAUUCCAUCUAAUUAAAGAAUGUCCUUUUUUCACCUUCUUUGUGAUUGUGUUGAAGGUCUUUGGUUUGCUAUGUUGAAUGUAAUUUUAUCUUUUUAAUCGAAUUAAUGUGCAGGUCGUACUAAUUGUGUUAAUUAUGACUCCAUUCUCAGCUACUUAUGAAGUAGCUUUGGGGAGCUGUUAGCAAAUAAUUACUUAAGUAAUUAUAUAUUAAUCCAUAUAUGGAUGUGUUUAGUAGACAUAAUUGAUUGCAAUAAUUAUUUCAAUUAAUUAUACUCUUUAUCUAAGGUCUUGGUUGAAAUGAACAAGUUUGUGUUUUAAAUUUGAACAUUUAAUAUGAUAAGUAUAAAAAAAUGAUAAGUAAACAAUUUUACCAUUUCAUGUCCUUUUUUCAGAUGAUGAUCUUUUCACUGAAUUGAAUUUUUUCAACACAAAUUUCUCAUUUUUAUCCAUGCUGAUUGCACCAAUUAUUAUUUUUUUGAACUUUAAUAGCUAAUAUCGUAACUAACAAUUUCUCAUUUUUGCAGGUCUUACCUAUACCACUGUUUUGUACACACAACACUUCAGAAUUUUUGAAUUGAUUUAUGUAUCCCCCUGUCUUAAUUGUAACAAUAAAAGGUUUC